GAAUACCAAACUGGAAGUGAAAAACAGAAUGGUUGUAUGGGCACUUGAAGUUCAGUUUCUACUGAAUGCUUAUCACUUUCACACCAUCAUAAAGUUGAAAAAUCAGGGCCUAUCAGGGUCAGCUCUGGCUGUCUUUUCCUUGAGGGUUUCUAUCCUUUGUAUGGGCUCAGGAAGUUCUUCCCCAUGCCAGUAUUAUAUUGGCACCUUUUAAUGGUUUCAUUUUUCUCAUUUAAUUAAUCUCCCUAGAAUUUGUUUUUUGCUUUUUUUGGUUUUUUUUUUUUUUUUUUUUUUUUUUGAGAUGGAGUCUUGCUCUGUCACCCAGGUUGGAGUGCCCAGGCACGAUCUCGGCUCACUGCAAACUCCGCCUCCCGGGUUCACACCAUUCUCCUGCCUCAGGCUCCCAAAUAGCUGGGACUACAGGUGGCUAAUUUUUUGUAUUUUUAGUAGAGACGGGGUUUCACCGUGUUAGCCAGGAUGGGCUCGAUCUCCUGACCUUGUGAUCCGCCCUCCUUGGCCUCCCAAAGUGCUGGGAUUACAGGUGCGAGCUACCGUGCCUGGCCUAGAAUUUGUUUUGAUAGAUAUUAGAUUGAGAUGUAACAUUUCUCCCCAUUAUUUGUUGAAUCCUUCAUUUUCUCACUGAUCUCAGACUCUUUAUCAAAUGGAAGCCUUUGUCUUUGCACUCGAGUUCUUUCUGGGCAUUCUGCUCCAUUCCUGUCUGCCCAGCAUCAGUCCACUCUCUCUCGUUAGUGGUGUCAUAUGAGAUAGUCACUGUUUGGUGAACACAUUCCAUCCCUUAUUCUGCCUCCUUUUAAAAAAUGUUCUUUGCUAUUCUCAAGCAUUUAAUUCUUCCAAGUAAUCUUCUAAGUCAUUGGACAAAUUCCUUCCAAAAACACCGUGGAGAUUUCAGUUGAAAUUGCAUUAAAUUUUUGUGUUAACUUACGGGAAGACUAACAUCUGGACAAUGUUUUGCCUGCCCUUGCUUAUGUUGAUUCAGAUUUUUGAUGUCCAGUGAGAGGCUUGGUUGGUGUAUCAGGCUCUGCACAGGGAAGCUGUCCAUUCUAUGGAGUUGCUGGUAACUGGCUGGUCCUGGGGACAGAGAACUGGCCCUCGUUCCUGUGUUAAGGGAAGGAUGAUGGCUCUUGGCUUGAAAAGAUCAUCUUUAUCAUGUUAACACAGUUUCCUUCUGUUUCUAAGAGGUAUUAUCAGAAAUAACACCUUGGAUUUUGGCAAAGCCAUUUUCAGCAUGUAGAGCAUUGAUUUCCCUUUUUCUCUUUGACUUCUGAUAGGAUGAAUGUUAUCAAUCAGCUUUCUAAUGCCGAACGAUCCUUGCAUUCCCAAAACAACCUUACUUGAUCAUGGGACAAUUCCUUGUAUGUGCUUUUAGAUUAGAUUUGGUAAUAUUUUAUUUUGGAAUUAUUUCAUCUAACCACUUAUAAUUAAAAUUAAUCCGCAGUGGGUUUUCUUUGAAUCUAGCUCUGUUAGGUUUUGGUCUUUGGUUCAUAAAUGAAUUGUCCGACUCCCUUUUGGAUAAUGAAAAUGCUCAACAUUUUUUCCUUUGCUUGAUUUUCAGCUAAUAGUGCUGGACCCCCCGGUGAGUAUUUGGGUGCCCUCUGGCCCAUGGCUCACCCCCUGGGGUGCAGCUGCCAUGGCGCAGAGAUACCAGUGUCCUCCUUGGCCUCUUGUAGAGUCUGUGUGCACUUGGACAGCACUGGGCUUCCAAGCCCCACCUAGCAUUGCCAGCAGUCACCUUGUGUCCUGCUCAGGCUUAGGCUGUCAGUUCCUUCUUGGCCACAAGACUUGGACCGUUUCUCCCACCCACAGGUGGAAGAAAGUGAUAACGAGUGGUCUGUUCCACACUGUUUCACCAUCUACGCGGCUCAGAAAACAAUCGUGGUGGCAGCCAGCACUCGGCUGGAGAAAGAGAAGUGGAUGCUCGACCUGAACUCCGCGAUCCAAGCAGCCAAGAGUGGCGGUGACACGGCCCCUGCACUGCCAGGCAGCACUGUGUGCACUCGUCCCCCCAGAUCCCCCAACGAGGUAUCUCUGGAGCAGGAGUCAGAAGAUGACGCUCGGGGUGCCCGCAGCUCCCUGGAGGGGCAUGGCCAGCACCGGGCCAACACCACAGUGCACGUGUGCUGGUACCGGAACACCAGCGUGUCCAGGGCAGACCACAGUGCAGCUGUCGAGAACCAGCUUUCAGGAUAUCUGCUAAGAAAGUUCAAAAACAGUCAUGGCUGGCAGAAGCUGUGGGUCGUCUUUACCAACUUCUGUUUGUUCUUCUACAAAACUCAUCAGGAUGACUACCCACUGGCCAGCCUCCCACUGCUGGGCUACAGCGUGAGCAUCCCCAGGGAGGCCGAUGGCAUACACAAAGACUAUGUUUUCAAGCUCCAGUUCAAAUCCCACGUCUACUUCUUCCGGGCUGAGAGCAAGUACACAUUUGAAAGGUGGAUGGAGGUGAUCCAGGGGGCCAGCAGCUCAGCCGGGAGGGCCCCAAGCAUCGUGCAGGAUGGCCCCCAACCCUCCUCAGGGCUGGAGGACAUGGUCAGGGGGAAGGAGGAAUGACGCUCAACCUGCCCAGGUUUGGACACAACUACAAAGAACAGCAGGACACAGAGGUGGUCUCUGUCCUGAGGCUUCUCAACAGAUGGGAAGUGGCUGUGGUCUCAAUAGAUCCCCACUGGCACCAACAGUGUGGAUGGGCCUCAUGUAACACCUGGGAGGGGCUUCAUCCCCCCACCCAGGACCUAGUGCAUGCCGGCAGCUAUCUGGGGCCCUGGGAAAAAUGUGCGGGUCUUGAGCACAGAGCCGCUCAAGCCACAGCCCCCAGCCCCUGGCCCCUGGCUCAAAGACACAGACAAGGCCUGAGCAGUGCUCUUGGCGUCGGACCAAAGCCUGGGCACACCCUGCCUCUCUCCCCAGAGCAGGGUCCCUGCUGAGGACUGGCCUAGAGCAAGCACUGGAAAAGAAGCCCUGCCAUACACCCUGCAUACCCCACUGCCAGGACCCUCUCAGAUAAGCGUGACCUCUCAGUCAGCAUGCUGACCUUCCAUCUGGUGAACCAAGUGGCAGCCCCAGGGGCCUGCCCUGCAGGUCACAGCUAAACAAGUCUGGCAGAAGCCACGCUUGUUCCCCAUGUACCUCUGGAGAAGCAGAAACCAAAGUCCCCCUGUGCCCUGGGAGGGUGGGGUUCUCUAAUUUAUUGGUGCCCAGCAUGCCUUCCAACGGGAAGUAGACGGGCGACUGCUUUGUUCACACACAUUUGAUUAAAAAUAAACAGCAUCUCCCC
rnacentral:sRNA from 1 species